rnacentral:lncRNA from 1 species
AUAACUGCUUCCACCUCCCAUUCUCCACUAUUUUGGUAUAGAUAUUUCAUCCUAAAAUCAAACAUGGAGACUUCUGUUUCAGGCCAUUUCAGAUUUCCUAAAACUGAAAUUGCCUUCCCGCUAUUAAUAAAUAGAAAAAUUGAUAAAAUAUACAAGGAAACUGUUUUCAGACAUUGCACAACAAACAGCCCUUGACUGGAAUCCCCUAAAGAAAGGAAAUAAAAUGCCAGGUCCUAUAAUCACCCCAGCUCUCUGCCUAGAGGUAAAUGAGUCUCUUUUCAUCAAAGAGGAAGAGAUCCGAGUUCAAGAGGCUGAAACAGUCAGAACAGAGUACUACAGAGAGAAAACUUUGCAGAGAAAACUUUGCAGAGAAAAAGCUCCAGAAAUCUUCUGACUGUUCCCCUUAAGUUUGUUGCUAAAAACUAAUAUGCACAGGCAGAGUGAGGUCUCAUGAGGCCAGGUGAGAAUACCAGGAAGCUAUAAACUGAUCUAUUCUCAGAGCUCAACCAGGGAAACGGAACAUUUGAGUUCUAACCAUCCUGAAUAAGAAAUUCUCAUUGAACACACAGGGCAUUUGGUAAAAACCAUGGAAGUGAAUCACCUUAGUAACCAGAUUCAACAAGUUAUACAUGAAGAUGACUCUUACCCACCCAUGUAGAAGGAGUUCUAAGAUGGUCUCCCAAAUACUUGCCGCUGUCAUACAGCUUUGUACAAACCCUCCACCCCCUCCCGUUGGGUAUGCAUGGAACAUAAUCCUCUUAACAAAGAAGCUACAUUUACUUGUAAUGUUAAAACUCUGAGCAAACUAGGAAUACAAAUAAACUUCCAUAGAAGAUGAGUAAAAAUUAAUAACAUAGAAAAUGAAAAAGAAUAAAAAAUAAAUUGAAGAAAAAAAUAGAAAAUCUGAAGAGCCUUAUAUCUAUUAAAGAAACUGGAUUUUUUACUUAAAAUAUUUUCUUUUUUAUUUGGUUUAGGGCUGUACCCGCAGCAUACAGACAUAUCCAGGCUAGAGGUCCAAUCAGAGCUAUAGCCUCUAGCCUACGCCAGAGCCACAGCAAUGCCAGAUUCAAGCCACAUCUGCAACCUACAUCACAGGUCACGGCAAUGCUGGAUCCUUAACCCACUGAGCAAGACCAAGGAUUGAGCCUGUGUCCUCAUGCAUACUAGUCAGAUUCAUUUCCUCUGAGCCAUGACUGGAACUCCAAAAUAUUUUCUUAAUUAAAAAAAAAAAAUCUUUUCAAAUCCUGGAUAAGCCUGACAUAAAUAAACAAACAAAUAAAUAUUUUUGAAAACUUGUCAUGAGAAAGUAAAAUAAAACUUAAAAACCUUUGGGCUCAUAUGACUUUAUUGGUAUAAAAAUAGAAAGGAAAAAUAUCCAACAACCAUUCAUGAUAAUAACUCCAAGAAAACUAGGGAUAGAAGGGAAUGUUUUUAACCUGAUAAGCAAUAGCUACAAAAAACCACAGAGCUCACAUCACACUAAAGGUGGAAAUAUAAUAAUUUCCCACUAAGAUCAAAAAUAAAAAUCUUAUCUCUUCUACUUAAUUUUGUUCGGAUGCAAAAAGGGGGAAAGUGAAAUAAAAUUCAGACAGAUUGGGAAUGAUUUCAUAAUACUGCAUAGAGAAAAUCUAAAGAAAUACACAAGAAAGAUACCAGAAUUAAUAAGUGAAUUUAGCAAGAUGGAGAAUAUAUAGCUGAGAAAAAAACACUUAUAUUUCUAUAUAAAUGCAGUAAAAUAAAGCUGGAAAUUUACAUUUAAUAAUUAAUCUUAUAAUAGCAUCCAGAAACAAGAUAUUCAGAAUAAAUUUAACAAAUUUGGGCAAGACAUGUAAAGUGAAAACUACAAAAUAGAGCUGAAAUUAAAGAUUUAAAUCAGUGAAGAAAUAUACCCUAUUUAAGGAUCAAAGACUGAAAAUUAAGAUGUCAGUUAUCUCAAAAUUGGUCUUUAGAAUCAAUACAGUCCUAUCCAAGAACAUUAUCACUUUUCAUUCUCCCUUAUUAUUACCACUGAUUUGCUUUCAUUGUUCCAUGUGAAAACCAAAGUUAAAUGAAGAGUAUUUCUGAGUCUGUGUAUGGAGUUGGGAAAAAUUUUUUCUAUAGGCAGAAUGGAAGGAAUAAUAGUGAUUUAUUCUCAGGAAACAUCAGUGUUUAGGACAUGGGUAGAAAAAGAGAAAUAGGAAGUGAAACUGAGGGUAAGUUACAUGAAGUAGAACAUGAAGUAUUUCAAGAAGAAAAGUAAGGACAGUUAAUUUGUUACCAAGAAAUCCAGUAGAAUGAAGAAGGAAGUGAAGAGAGACCAGAAUAUAAAAAGGGAGUUUUGUAGUAUCCAUAACAAACACCUCAGUAAACGUGUCCCCCGGUUCCUGUGUUCCUUCCUUUAAGAAAUCACCCCUCAUUCACCUAUCCAGAGAGGGGUACACUUUCAAUCAUGUUCAUCCUGUGCCCCAUUAGCAUAAUUUGACGGCUGGUGCUAUCCCAGUAAAGUUCUCUCUCCUAAGUCAGAGUGGCAUUCUACCAAGUUCUCUUACUCAGUGUGGGAUUAUUUUGAGGAUUUACAUUUUUAAGUUUGUUGUUUGACUAUUCCUGCCCCCCAGCAUAUGGAGUUCCUAGGCCAAGAAUCAGAUCCAAGCCUCGAUUGUGACCUAUGUCAUAGCUGCAGCAACACUGGAUCCUUAACCCACUGCAACCAGCUGGGGAUCGAACCUGAGACCUGCACUGCUGCAGGUGGAUUCUUAACCCACUGUGCCACAGUGGGAACUCAAAGGAUUACAAUUUUGAAACUAAAAUUGAGACUACUUCAAAAACAGACCAUAACCUCAAAUUUCCUAUCUCAACGGAUACCACUCUGCUUAUCAUAGAUCCAUUUACUCUUUCAUUUAUUCAACCUUCUUUAAAAGAUGUAACUCUAUUUGUAAGGCACAAAUUAUACCAUAUGGUAAUAUAGCUUUAUCAAUGAUGUUCAAAAUGUCACUUUCUUUAUAAUUUAUAUAUUUGGUAAUAUUUUAAUGACUGGUUUAUUAAUGAUUCGUCCAGCAAUUAUGUGGUUGUCAAUUUAACUUGGAUUUUCUAUGGCUUUUGACAUAGAUAUUUUGCUGUUAUUAUUUGUCACAUAGUUUUAUGAAUAGAUUGUCUUCAUCAUGAAUUAUACCUGAAGGAGUUAUUGCAUAUAAUGAGGAUUUUGUAGGGCAUACCACACAUAGGCAAAAGUAGUGAUGAUUAAGUCUUAAAAAUUACCUUUUUUGGCUUAUUGAAAAAGUUUUGUUUUCACUUUUUGUUGUUGUUGUUUUUGUUUUUCGUUUUUUUUGUUUUUGAAGGAACACUAUGCACUUGUCACUGUGCUAGAGAUGGGCUCUGGACCCAAGGAAUUCAUAUUUUAGUGAAAUUAAGAAUACAGCCUUAAUAUGGAAUGUAAUGUUUUUAUCAAUAUAAAAGUUAGUAUUUUUAUUCUCUUAAAUAUCACUAAUGAAACUCCUGUUUGUCUUUCGUCUUGUUUGUCUAAUACAUGUUUGCCCAUUUUUUCAAAAAUUUUAGUGUAACUUUGCUCUAGCUUUUUGCACUGUGAACAGUAUAUAAUUCAAUUUACUUUUGCUUUUGUUCAUUGACAUAAUCUUAAAGCAUUUUUGCUUCAGUAGGGGAUUUUAUCCUAUGAACAUUUAUAACAAUAAUUGAUGUUAUUGGUUAUAUUUGUUUCCUUGUUUUAUGUUUUUGGUUUAUUAGACUUCCUUGUUGUUUCAUUUAUUUUCUGCCUGUUUAUUAUAUGCACAAAACCAUUCUACUCUAUGCAAUGACUUGAAAGUGAAACAUUUUAAAACUUCCAGUGCUAUUUGUCUCCAAGUUUCCAAAACCUACGUGAGUCUACUUCUCCUAAUAGGAAAAUUAAACAAAUACACAAAAAUGUUAAUCUCUCUAAUGCUGGAGGAAAAUCAAUAUCUUUGAUUAUUCUGCCUCAUACCCAUUUCUAUUUUCUUGUCAAUUCAAUCUUGAAAUAUGAACCCCAAUUAUCUUUAUUUCUGAGAAACCAUAAGUAUUCCUCUUAUUUAUCCAUCCCAAUGGGAACUGAUUUAGAUUUGUCAUUUCAUGUUAAUAUUUCAGUGAUCCUGAGUACUAUUUAAAUGUUAUGAACUACGCAUUUGUAACUUCUUCAUUUGUACUUACCUCAAGGUCAGCUGUUCAGUGGGAGUAAGUCUUUAAGACAUUCAGUCCACUUCUCCCCUCAGCACCCCAAAGCCAUCAUGUUUCUGAGAAAAUCUUUGCUGCAUUUAUAUGUAUAUAUCAACUUACUUGGAUGUUGACAUUUUGUUUCAGAAUUGCUUUCUCUCAAAAUUUUAUGGUUGGUUAUUGUUUCACUGUCUUCCAGAAUUUCAUGUUGUAGAGAAUUGUUACUGUGAGAUUGUUUUUAAGUCACCAGGUUUUGUUAUUGUUGUGUUCUGCUUGAAAGACAGUAGGAUUUUUUUUUUUUCUUUUUCUUGAGGCUGAAGAUGCCACUAAUAUUUCUCUAGGGAAGGGUCUCUUCAGUUUUGCCUAGAAAAUAAUCAUUUUUCAGACUUGAGACUUUCUUUAUUUUUACUUCAUUAGUUAUUGUCAUCUUUCAUUCAUUCUCAGUUUGGUUUUUUUUUGUUUGUUUUUGUUUAGUUGUUGUUUCUUUUAUUUUUAUGGCCACACCUAUCAUAUGGAAGUUCCCAGGCCAGGGACUGAAUCCAAGCCACAGCUGCCACCUACACUGCAGCUGCAGAAACACCAGAUCCUUUAAACCAUUGCCAGGCACUGAACCUACACCACAGCCACAACCUUAAGCCACAGCAGUGACAACACUGGAUCCUUAACCCACUGAGCCACGAGGGAAGUCCACUGCUAACUUCAUUUCUAACUCUAAAUCCAUUUAGGUAAUAGAUGGGAAGAUUUGUCUCUCAAAUCUAAACCAGAAGUGAAUUGUUCUACUACCUUCAGUUUUAUUUCCAAGAACUAGAUUAGGAUUAUAAACUGUAGAGAGAUUGUAAUGACCUACUGAUAUUGGUCCAAUUCUAAGACUCUGAAAUGGGAAUAAGUGCAGAAUAAAACUCAUGGUCUCCAAACUGUUUUGAUUAAAAUAUCCUAUCAGAAAAGAAAAAAAAAAACACUCACAAUAUAUAAUACAUGUGAGAGGUGGUGUAUUAGCAAGCUACUGUCACACCUAAGGGUCCUAUUCAGUCAUGGAGUGAGUGCAGUUUUCUAAUUUAAAUAUCCCCUGCAACCCAAACUGGAAGAUAGAUAAAUAGAAAUCUUCUGUUGCAUAUCUUUUGAUUACCAUCCAAGCAUGAACAGGCAAGGAUUAUGUUUAUCAUUCCAGCUCAUCAGUUUUUCAGCUAAUUCUUGAGUAGGCUGACAACUAUUUUUAGGCGUCAUUGCCAUGGUUUAUUUUCAUCACUUUUGUGUGUAGGAUGACAGAAGGAAAACUUCAAGAGCAUUUUAGUUUGAAUGUGGUGUAUGACAUAUCACACAUGACCCAUCUACAAUUCACCCAAGAAAAUCUGAAAGAUCCAUACUCUAAAAUAAAAAUCUGAUUAUGUCAUGCCCCUUGUUAAAAUCCUUCAGUGACUCCCGAUUACCUGUAGAAUAUAAUUAAAACUUCUCCAUGGGGCUAAUAUGGUCAUUUAUGAUCUGACUUCUGCCUUAUUUUUCAGCAUCACUUGUGUCCACUGCUCCAGAAAUACCCUGACCUCUUAUAUUUAGGAACCACUCUAUUCCCAAAAAUCAUUCAUUCCUAAAUUCCAUCAUGUCUAAGUAUGUACUGUUCCUGCCACAGGAAAUAAGGAGUAUCUACUACUCUCCUCUUCUGUCUGUUUGACCAACAAGUCAUUUGCCAGAGAACCAAUAUGUCAAUCACAAGAAAUGGACACUCCAACCACUAUAUGUGAUUUUAUACACACGUAUGUUGGUGUGUGUACACAGGUAUCUACACAUAGGUACAUACAAAUGUAUAUGAUUACAUUAUACAAAGUAUAACUUCAAAAGAAUGAAGACAUCUUCAACCACUUACCUCUUUCUCUCUCUGUUUCAUAACAUGGUACCAUGUUAUGUAUUUAUUCCCAUCCAUCUACCUCCUUCUUUUUUUCUAGAUUGGCUUCUUACCAUCUACCUUAUAUAUUACCCCAAUUUACAUCCCAUAAUCCCUGAAUCCCAAAUACAAGUGUAUAAAUAAGGAAAAUACAAUCUUAUUUGUGUUUACCCAUGACCCAAUAAAUUGCAGCAGAGGUAGAGAAUGUGAAUUUAAGAAAAAUGCCACCUACCAGUCUUUGGCCCAUGUAGCUUCUCUAAGGGGAUGUAUAAGGGCAGCCAGGGAAGAGAGAAAAUAACUGGGAUGUCUGAGCAGGUAGUAGCUUUCAUAUUUCUAUUUCCUGGCUGUCUUCUCCACUAGAAUGAAUUUCUUCUGAAAAAACUUUUGUCUUUAUAAUCUUUAUAUGAUUAGAGUCUAGCACAUAAUUGGAACAUAGUUAAUUAUUUACUAAGUUUAUGGAUAUAGGGUGGUAAACUAAAAAGGAGUAACUUUCUAGAAAGUAUUUUCAUAUAAGGAAGUCAGAUCUAUUUGUAGGCAGGGAGGUUGUGCAAUCUACAGAUUUGAUGCAAUUCCUAUCAAAAUAUCAAUGGCAGUUUUCAUAGAACUAGAAAAAAUAACUUCAACAUUUGUAUGGAAAGACAAAAGACCCAACAUAGCCAAAACUAUCUUGAGAAAGAACAGAGCCAGAGGUAUCACACUCUGGCUUCAGACUAUACUACAAAGCUACAGCCAUCAAAACAGUAUGGUACUCACACAAAAACAGGCACAUAGAUCAAUGGAAAAAAAGUGAUAGCCCAGAAAUAGACCCAUGCACUUAUGGUCAAUUAAUUUACCAAAAAAAAAAGAAGGAAAGAUGCACAACAGAGAAAAGACAGUCUCUUCAGUAAAUGGUGCUGGGAAAACUGGACAGCAACAUGCAAAAGAAUGAAAUUAGGACAUUUUCUAACACCAUACACAAAAAAUAAACUCAAAAUGGAUUAAAGGCCUAAAUGUAAGACCAGAAAUCAUAAAGCUCCUAGAAGAAAACAUAGAUGUAAUUAAUUCUGUUUGACAUAAAUUGUAGUGAUACUUUGGGGAACUGUAUCCUAAAGCAAAGGGAACAGAAGCAAAAAUAAACAAAUGGGAUCUAGUUAAACUUAAAAACUUUUGCACAGCAAAGGA